CAAUCUAUGCAGUUUUCAACUCGGGUCACUGUCUCAACAUUCAUUAUUCAUCGCUUGAGAAAAGAUUGUGUGACAAAUCCCAACUGUUGGCAAAGGAGAGAACAGCAGCACCUGGAUGCCAGAGGAAAUGGAGAAGUCAACUAAAUUGUAGAAGCCCAAUUUAUACCCCAUAUGUGAUCCCUGGAUAGAGAAGCCACACUGGUAAUAGUGGUGACUUCAUUCCUGAAUUUAAAGCGUAUUAAACACAGCUAUAUAAAAACUAAACCAAAACAGAUACCUCCCCAUAAGAAAUAAAACAGCUAUAGGAGUUGGAAGACUAUCCAAAAACGGAUGAAAGAUGCAAUGUCGCAUUACCACUGAUGGCAUCGUAUUCUUGCUUCCUGGUGGAAUCAGGACUCGGAGAUCUGGUUUACGGUUGUUCAUCCCCAGAUUCAUCGGUGGAGGAGAUUUCGCUUGCAUAUUCUUGUUCAAAUUACCAGAGUUUUCGUAACCAUGCUAAGGGGCUACGUCUUCCAACUGAAGCUCUUCUGGAACACCAAAAGCAUCUCUUCUACCUUGGGACUGGAAUGCAGUGAUGCUUCCCAAAGCACUGAUUCAUCUCAGCCACAGUAUCUGCCCAACAGAACUAGAGGGAAUUUUUUAAGUCUUAACUUGACCCUUUCCUAAAAGAACAAUGGGUAUUUGGAUGGGUUGCCUUAUGCUUCAGAGGAUGGAGGCAAAUUGCCAUGCUCACUCCUUUCCUAAUGACAUGCUCAGCCAAAGAAAGUGGAAUUUUGGCAACCUAUUCUGCACCCAAAUCAGGGCAAACUGAUUGCACACUUCUUCUGAAUUUGUUUUGCUUCCUAUGCAGAAAAACAAAACCUCAUCUUGCCCGAAGGUAUUGCUGGGCAAGUCGGACUAACUCAGUUUUACAAAAUUGGGAUGAUAUGAGGACUUUGGGCAUUUAAAUGUUGAGCACAGUGAUAUUUGGGGAUCUGUGAGCAGCUUAUUUUCUUCUGUAAACCCAUCUUUUAGGUUGGAAUAUACUGUCUUUGACAGAAACAGGAACAAGCACAUUUAUUCUUCAUGCCUUAUUCAUUUACACAUUCCACUUUGUGCAAUACAGAAUGAAAGCCUCUCAUGAUCACCCACGUGCCCUGAAUCAUUUAAUAAACAGAACAACAAAAGAUUAAGAACAUUGUUUAAGUUUUUGUAAAGCCACCUAAGAAAAGGUAAAGAACCCAUUGCUUUUCAGU